GGGAGGGUUACGGCCCGGAGGAGAGAAGUUGGGUACCUGCUAGGGACAUUCUGGAUCACUCCCUUAUCGAUGAUUUCAAUCGACAGUGUUUGUGUGGGCGUGGUUUCCCAAUCUCGGCCUGAUUGUCUGCGCCAGCUGGAACCACUUAUCUUCCCUUUAUAUGUUCUGUUACCAGUGUUUCUUGUUGUCAGUUCGUUGUUUCUUCUCUGAGGUUGUGUCGUGUGUCCGUGCUCUUCUCUUGUGUGGAUUAUCUGCUGUGCUCCUUCCUACUCAUCCGGACACACUCCCCUGGUUUUCUCAGCACGUUAUGAUCGGAAGAUGCGCCCGAGUUCCUGGGUCGGAUUCCUUCUGAGUACAGUCUGUCUGUCAUGUUGCUGCUGUGAACUACAUUCAUUAAAACCAUCGUUGCUUGCA